CUGGUGCCAGCAGCCGCGGUAAUUCCAGCUCCAAUAGCGUAUAUUAAAGUUGUUGCAGUUAAAAGNUCGUAGUUGAAUUUCGGGAUUGACACAUCGGUCGUGCCUUAAGGGGUAUGAACUGGUGUAGUCAAUUUCUCACCUUCUGGAGAACCGCGAUGCCCUUAAUUGGGUGUCACGGGGAACCAGGACCUUUACUUUGAAAAAAUUAGAGUGUUUAAAGCAGGCAUUUUGCUUGAAUACAUUAGCAUGGAAUAAUAAAAUAGGACGGCAUGAUUCUAAUUUUGUUGGUUUCUAGGAUCACCGUAAUGAUUAAUAGGGAUAGUUGGGGGCAUUAGUAUUCAAUUGUCAGAGGUGAAAUUCUUGGAUUUAUUGAAAGACUAACUACUGCGAAAGCAUUUGCCAAGGAUGUUUUCAUUAAUCAAGAACGAAAGUUAGGGGAUCGAAGACGAUCAGAUACCGUCGUAGUCUUAACCAUAAACUAUGCCGACUAGGAAUCAGACGAUGUUAAUUUUUAAUGACUCGUUUGGCACCUUACG
rnacentral:rRNA from 1 species